UUGAUUUUCCCUGCCCUCAUAGUCUGGAACAGUUUAAGUUGAGAUACCCAGUGUACGAGGAAGUGUUACGCUGGCUUUCGGAUUAAUAUCUGGCUUAUUAUUACUCAUGAAGAGAGAAUAUUCUGCUUCAAAUUAGCAUUUCCGAAUCUUAUUCUCUAGAGACAAUGGAAAAGGAAAUUCUGUUGAGAAGAAAUCAAGUUAAAAGAAGAGUCGGCCCACUGAUGGAUCACGGCGCCCCUUGGAGUUCAUUCUACCCGAGUUUGGAGGAGAGAAAUUAAAAAUUCCACCAUAUGAAGUCCUUUCAUUUUCUCAUUAAAAGCGCCACGGUCCAACCCACUGUGGCCUCUAAUAUUUUUCGAGCUUAUGAAUGAGCAGUUUUAAUAGCUGUGCUUGAUUAACUUUGACCUCGACUGUAAAGUUUUAUAGCCUCUCGUGAACUUUCUUUCAUCGUGAAGUACUCAGACGAAUGACUUAAAAACGAGGGGGUAUGAAGAGAAGAAUAUUAUUUCAGAUUGUGGAAUGUUAACAGCAAGCACGAAUCUGGCUUUAUAAAUGUUUUUAAAAGUUUCAAUAGCUUUUUUGAAGUAAAAAAUUAUCUACUAAAUCUUAAAAAUUUUUCGAUAGAUCACUUUUUUAGAAUUUCUGUCAAAUUAAUCGCAUAUUUGUUACAUUUAUAUUUAUGAGGAAAGAGUGUUAAUGUAGUAUAGUAAAAAUAUUCUAAUGUAGAGACAUUAGACAUUAACAUUGUAUUAGUUUCAUUUAUAUUUAUAGCGCAACAGUAUUAAUAUGUUUUAUAACAAAAAAUAAAAAAUAAAGCAACCAAAUUCUGGCAGUGUAUUUAACCAAUUUGUUACUCCCUUCCAAUACCGUUACUAACUUAAUCUUGUAUUAGUUUUUAAUUUAUAUUUAUAACAGAAUAGUAUUAUUAUGUUUUAUAGUAAAAAAUAAUAAAGCAAUCACACUCUUCCAGGUCAUUUAACUUAUUUUGUUAGUUUCAUUACCACUACUAAAUUAAUUUUGUGUUAGACUCAUUCAUUUUUAUAAUAAAACAGUAUUAAUUCGUUUUAUAACAAAUAAAUAAAUAAAUAAACAAACUAGACUCAACAAGUGCAAUUAAGUCAUUCUGUUAUUCUCUUUCAAUACCGUUACCAAACAAUUUUUGUAUUAGUUUCAUUUAUAUUUAUUGGGCAACAGUAUUAAUGUGUUUUAUAAUAAAAAAUAAUAAAGCUACCCAAUUCUGCAGUGUAUUUAACCAUGCUGUUACUCAUUUUCAGUACCGUUAUUAAAUUAAUCUCGUAUUAGUUUAAUUUAUAUUUAUAAGGGAAAUAGUAUUACUAUGUUUUAUAAUCAAGAAUAAUAAAGCAAUCACACAUUUAA